rnacentral:lncRNA from 1 species
GAUCAAUGAGAGAGAUCCUCAUAUGUUCAGACAUUUCAUUAAUAGGUAUUAGCUCACCAGUUAUAGGAGAGACAACAUACUUAGUAGGGUCGCUUUCUGUGGGGAUCCUCUCUUCAGGCCUCUUCCAGUUCUUCACAAUCCGCAUAGGUGGGUCGGGUCCCUUUCUGCCGGGAUCCUCUCUUCAGGCCUCUUCCAGUUCUUCACAAUCCGCAUAGGUGGGUCCUGUUCCUCUGCAAUUCCCAUGGUUUCAGCACUCUUGACAUGAUCAUUCUCUUGAAGAGUUGCAGCUCUCAUACCUUCUUCGACUAGCUGCACCUCUUCUUCAUCCAUCUCCAUUUCCACCUCUCUUCCGGGC